UACGUAGGGUGCAAGCGUUAAUCGGAAUUACUGGGCGUAAAGCGUGCGCAGGCGGUUUUGUAAGUUUGUCGUGAAAGCCCCGGGCUUAACCUGGGAAUGGCCGUUGAAACUGGCGAACUGGAGUGUGGCAGAGGGGGGUGGAAUUCCGCGUGUAGCAGUGAAAUGCGUAGAGAUGCGGAGGAACACCGAUGGCGAAGGCAGCCCCCUGGGCUAACACUGACGCUCAGGCACGAAAGCGUGGGGAGCAAACAGG
rnacentral:rRNA from 1 species